rnacentral:misc_RNA from 1 species
UUGCAAUCCUUCACUUGCUUUUGCCCAAUAAAUACCAACGCAUAUGCACUCAAGAAAAUUUCUUGAGUUUGAAGACAAAUGAAUAAAAGAAAAUGAAUGACUUUUUAUUAUAAGCUAUGAUAAACUAUAGAAGUUUGUACACAAAAUGAGUAAAGAAUUUAUCAAGAAAUGAAGAUCUAGUUAUGGUGAAAGAACCUGCAACAGAAACACAACACCAACCCACUGUCAAAGAGAAAAGAGAAGACAAAAAAUAAAAGUGAAGCUUGACGCAGCUACUAGGAAUCAAGAAACUUCGGCUGCUAACCUAAGCAGCCACCAGGCACCACCUCCUUUACCCCCCAGUAAGCUAAAGCCACGCGUGUGCUGCUCCAAAUUACCCUUCUUCUGUCCCUGCGAAAGCAUCCAUCUCGAGUCUUGACCACUUCCCUCGAGCUCUUUGUUUUUUCUCUCCAUUACCGUUCAAUCAUUAAUCAGCCCUUUCUUCACAUUUCCUACAAGCGUCACACACGUGUAACCCCAUCUUGGAACUGUCCAACUAGGGUUUCUGGUGGUUAAUUUUGCACUCGAGUCUUGAGGUCUUAAAUGGGCCUCACCCUCCCCUGUUUUAUGUAUGUACACCAGCUUUGUCAGUUUUAGGCUACUGAGCUCUCUUUCUUUACCUCUUUUUUCUUUUUAUGUGGAGGCAAAUUGCUUGCUUCUUUGGUCUCUCCUCUUCCACUUCUUAGCAAUCUAGCAAGGGAAAGUGUUUUCCUUUUGUGGGUACGCAAGUUUCUUGGAACAAGAAGGAAAGAAUUAGCUAGCUAGUAUGGGGCUCUCAAGUUUCCCUUGUGCAGCUGAAGGAGUGCUUCCCGUGCUGGUAAUGAACACGGUUAUAUCAGUAGCUUUAUUCAAGAACAUGGUCAGGUCUGUGCUCCAAGUGAUGGGUGCUAAUUGGACUCCACAAGAUUAUGAGCAAGACCCAGAUGGGCGUAUUAUUCCUCAAGAAAAUGCAAGAGAGAGAAGAAUUUCAAUAACCCAGUUCAAAUCCUUGACCACCCCCAAUAGUCCCAGUGGCAGUGGUGGUGGCAGUGGCGGUGGCAGUGGUCGGGCUGGUGGUGCUACAGUGGAAUGUUGUGUGUGUCUGUGUGGGUAUGAAGCUGAAGAGGAGGUGAGUGAACUGUCUUGCAAGCAUUUCUUCCACAAAAAGUGCUUAGACAGGUGGUUUGACAAUAAACAUAGUACCUGCCCUCUCUGUCGAUCAAUUCUCUAGAUUGAUGGAAAUUUUUGUCCUAAAUGGAUGUUCAUGGUUUCGAUGGAAGAUCAUUUUUAUUCACUUUCUUGUUGCCUUUUAUUUGGGGGGGUUGAUUUUUGAGCAAAAUUAGUGAAAAAUUAUUACAUGACAAUGUCUAAUGUCUUGCUUUGUUUUUGUGUCUUAUUUUUAUACCUCUAGUUUCAGUUUGUGUAAGUGACAAGAACAUUUCAAAUUAAAGCAUCAAGAGAUUGGACCUAUUUUAACAUCUUAAUUUCUCUAGUUUGUGCCAUACAAAUUAAUCUUUCAUCAGUUUAAUUGUCAGAUAAUUACAGACAACACAAAAUGGGGAAGAAAUAAAACACUGAAAUAGAAAGAGUGUCUUUUUUAAGAAUUUUUUUAAAUAAAGAAAAAGAAAAUUCUCAAAUUGGGAGCUUUCUUGUAGAAACAUGGACUCGAAGCAUGAAGCACAGCCAAAACGUAGGGGACAAAUGCGAGGUUCAAAGCAGCUUCUCUUUGUACCAUUUUGGGUUUGGAGAUUGUUUUGUUUGGUAAAAUGGUAAAUCAAUGAGAUGGCCACCAUCCUCUACUUGGGUCCUUCCUAUUCUAAAGCCUGCUGAAAUGGUUAAUCCAUAGCUGCUCGUCAAGCAUUUGUAUAUCUGAAAAAAUAAAAAUUUAAAUUUGGAUGCUGGGUUUGUUUUUUUCACAAUUUUAAGUUAAAAUUCAUUAAUUAGAUGCUAGCUAAUAUUAA